GCCUGGGUGGCUUAGUCGGUUAAGCGUCUGACUUCAGCUCAGGUCCUGAUCUCACAGUUUGUGAGUUCGAGCCCCGCAUCAGGCU
rnacentral:tRNA from 1 species